UACGUAGGGGGCAAGCGUUGUCCGGAUUUAUUGGGCGUAAAGAGCGUGUAGGCGGCCAAGCAGGUCAGCUGUGAAAACUCGAGGCUCAACCUCGAGACGUCGGUUGAAACCGCUUGGCUAGAGUCCGGAAGAGGAGAGUGGAAUUCCCGGUGUAGCGGUGAAAUGCACAGAUAUCGGGAAGAACACCCGUGGCGAAGGCGGCUCUCUGGGACGGUACUGACGCUGAGACGCGAAAGCGUGGGGAGCAAACAGG
rnacentral:rRNA from 1 species